rnacentral:lncRNA from 1 species
GGAAAUGUCAACUGUGCUGGUGGGAUUAGACACGCCUGCAGUGAAGAAGCAGAAGCUGAGCAGUGACGAGACCAGCAACCCUCACCUCUCUGGAGAGGAGAAUGAUGAUGCUGUCAGUAGAAAGUGGUACAAUCACUGAACACCCUGAUAUACCUACAAACAUGCCAAAUGCACCUGGAAGGCAAAGUUGGGGAAAGGGAAAAUGGAAGUCAAAGAAAUGCAAAUGUGCUUUCAAAUGUGUAAAUAGUCUCAAGGAACAUCAUAACCAACCACUGUUUGGAGUUCAAUUUAAUUAGCACAGUAAAGAAGAAGAUCCAUUACUGUUUGCAACUGUAGGAAGCAACAGAGUUACCUUGUAUGAAUGUCAUUGACAAGGAGAAAUUCGGUUGUUGCAAUCUUGUGUGGACGCUGAUGCUGACGAAACUUUUACACUUGUGCAUGGACCUAUGAUAGCAAUAGAAGCAUAAUUGGGAUGAUUAAUCCCACAACAACGCAGUGUAAAAAGCACUAUAUUGGCCACGGAAAUGCUAUCAAUGAGCUGAAAUUCCACCUUAGAGAUCCAAAUCUACUCCUAUCAGUAAGUAAAGAUCAUGCUUUAUGAUUAUGGAAUAAUGGACACACUGGUGGCAAUAUUUGGAAGCAUAGAAGGGCACAGAGUUGAAGUUCUAAGCGCUGGUUGUGAUCUUUUGCGUGAAAAAAUAAUGUCCUGUGGUAUGGAUCACUCAAACUUUGGUGGAUCAAUUCAAAGAGAAUGAUGAAUUCAAUUAGGAAAUCUUAUGAUUAUAACCCAAGUAAAACUUACAGGCCAUUUAAUUCUCAGAAAAUCCAUUUUACAGGAAUUAUGUUGAUCGUCUGUGAUGGUUAGGUGAUUUGAUACUUUCUAAGUCUUGUGAAAAUGCAGUUGUGUUGGAAACCUGGCAAAACGGAAGGUGAUAUAGAUACAAUUCAACCUGGUGACUCUAAUGUGACUAUUCUUAGGUGAUUUGAUUGUAGCCAGUGUGAUAUUUGGUACAUGAGAUUUUCUAUGAAUUUCUGGCAAAAGAUGCUUACAUUGGGCAAUCAAGUUGGAAAACUUUAUGUUUGAAAUUCAGAAGUUUAAGAUCCUCAUAAAGCCAAAUGUACAACACUAACUCAUCGUAAAUGUGAUGCUGCUAUUCAACAAACCAGUUUUAGCAGGGAUAGCAGCAUUCUUAUAGUUGUUUGUGAUGAUGCCAGUAUUUGGCUCU